UACGUAGGCAGCAAGCGUUGUUCGGAGUUACUGGGCGUAAAGGGUGCGUAGGCGGCUUUUUAAGUUUGGUGUGAAAUCUCCUGGCUUAACCGGGAGGGUGCGCCGAAUACUGAGAAGCUAGAGUAUGGGAGAGGAAAGUGGAAUUCCUGGUGUAGCGGUGAAAUGCGUAGAUAUCAGGAGGAACACCUGUGGUGUAGACGGCUUUCUGGACCAUAACUGACGCUGAGGCACGAAAGCGUGGGUAGCAAACAGG
rnacentral:rRNA from 1 species